rnacentral:snRNA from 1 species
GGAUGUGAGGGCAAUCUGGCUGUGACAUCUGUCACCCCAUUGAUCGCCAGGGUUGAUUCGGCUGAUCUGGCUGUCUAGGCAGGCGUCCCCUUCCUCCCUCACCACUCCAUGCGCGUCCCUCCAUAAGCUGCGUGCUUGGUCGAAGAGGACGGCCUUCCCCGAAUAGAGACGGACCGGUCUUCAGUCGAGAGUAUACGAGUAGCUGCACUCCCCUGCUAGAACUUCCAAACUAAAUUCUAUAUUAAAGAUAAAUACUAGAUUGUCUAAACUAAAAAAAAAUUUCAUACCUGUCAAACAAUGGUAUUUAUUUG